GACGAACGCUGGCGGCGUGCUUAACACAUGCAAGUCGAGCGGUAAGGCCUUUCGGGGUACACGAGCGGCGAACGGGUGAGUAACACGUGGGUGAUCUGCCCUGCACUCUGGGAUAAGCCUGGGAAACUGGGUCUAAUACUGGAUAUGACCUCAGCAUACAUGUGCUGGGGUGGAAAGCUUUUGUGGUGCAGGAUGGGCCCGCGGCCUAUCAGCUUGUUGGUGGGGUAAUGGCCUACCAAGGCGACGACGGGUAGCCGACCUGAGAGGGUGACCGGCCACACUGGGACUGAGACACGGCCCAGACUCCUACGGGAGGCAGCAGUGGGGAAUAUUGCACAAUGGGCGGAAGCCUGAUGCAGCGACGCCGCGUGAGGGAUGAAGGCCUUCGGGUUGUAAACCUCUUUCAGCAGGGACGAAGCGUGAGUGACGGUACCUGCAGAAGAAGCACCGGCUAACCACGUGCCAGCCGCCGCGGUAA
rnacentral:rRNA from 1 species